AAGUCGUAACAAGGUUUCCGUAGGUGAACCUGCGGAAGGAUCAUUAACAGAUUCUGCUAGCCAGAUAUCUUACCCCGUGUGAACUGUUCUUUAGACUUGGUGCCCAAGACUCGAGGCUCUCCGAGAGGGGCUGCUGGAGGCCUUAAAAUAGCCGACGCGUCUCUCAAGGGUGUCUCGACUCUAAGCACCAUCAUUUUUACCCUUUAACUUUGAAUGCCGAGAAACUUAUAAAAGACUAGAAAACUUUUAGCAACGGAUCUCUAGGCUCUU
rnacentral:misc_RNA from 1 species